ACGACCGAUACAGCCCAGCAUAUCGAGACUAUGGCACCUCAAAAGACCUCCUCUCUGGGAAAAACGCCAAUCUCAAACAUCUGCUGCAUCUUCAGCACAUACAUCACAAGACGAUGAUGAAGAAGAAGCGUCUAAACAACAGAAAUGAAAUCUGCCUGUUCAAGGCUUUGCGAAGAUGCGGAAAUCGUCUCAUCGCCCAGUUCUCCUCAGAUUCUGGAUUUGACAACAGGUGCUCGACCAAAGAGGAGUUCCUGGACUGCAUGUCGGGCAUGCAGCACGGCGCGUGCCACGUGAAGCACGUGCGCCACGGGCCG